rnacentral:rRNA from 1 species
GUGGCGAACGGGUGAGUAAUACGUGAGUAACCUGCCCUUGACUCUGGGAUAAGCCUGGGAAACUGGGUCUAAUACUGGAUACUACCUCGCACCGCAUGGUGGGUGGUGGAAAGGGUUUUACUGGUUUUGGAUGGGCUCACGGCCUAUCAGCUUGUUGGUGGGGUAAUGGCUCACCAAGGCGACGACGGGUAGCCGGCCUGAGAGGGUGACCGGCCACACUGGGACUGAGACACGGCCCAGACUCCUACGGGAGGCAGCAGUGGGGAAUAUUGCACAAUGGGCGGAAGCCUGAUGCAGCGACGCCGCGUGAGGGAUGACGGCCUUCGGGUUGUAAACCUCUUUCAGUAGGGAAGAAGCGAAAGUGACGGUACCUGCAGAAGAAGCGCCGGCUAACUACGUGCCAGCAGCCGCGGUAAUACGUAGGGCGCAAGCGUUGUCCGGAAUUAUUGGGCGUAAAGAGCUCGUAGGCGGUUUGUCGCGUCUGCUGUGAAAGCCCGGGGCUCAACCCCGGGUCUGCAGUGGGUACGGGCAGACUAGAGUGCAGUAGGGGAGACUGGAAUUCCUGGUGUAGCGGUGAAAU